UACGUAGGGGCCUAGCGUUGUCCGGAUUUAUUGGGCGUAAAGAGCGUGUAGGCGGCCAGGCAGGUCCGCUGUGAAAACUCGAGGCUCAACCUCGAGAGGUCGGUGGAAACCGUCUGGCUAGAGUCCGGAAGAGGAGAGUGGAAUUCCCGGUGUAGCGGUGAAAUGCGCAGAUAUCGGGAAGAACACCUGUGGCGAAGGCGGCUCUCUGGGACGGUACUGACGCUGAGACGCGAAAGCGUGGGGAGCGAACAGG
rnacentral:rRNA from 1 species